UUCAUACUCCCUCCGUUCGGAAUUACUUGUCUCGGAAAUGGAUGUAUCUAGAAUAAAAUACGUCUAGAUACAUCCAUUUCUGCGACAAGUAAUUCCGAACGGAGGGAGUAGGAU
rfam:Triticum aestivum genome assembly, contig: Triticum_aestivum_CS42_TGACv1_scaffold_433151_5DL